rnacentral:rRNA from 1 species
UACGAAGGGGGCUAGCGUUGCUCGGAAUCACUGGGCGUAAAGGGGGCGUAGGCGGGUCUUUAAGUCAGAGGUGAAAUCCUGGAGCUCAACUCCAGAACUGCCUUUGAUACUGAGGAUCUUGAGUACGGGAGAGGUGAGUGGAACUGCGAGUGUAGAGGUGAAAUUCGUAGAUAUUCGCAAGAACACCAGUGGCGAAGGCGGCUCACUGGCCCGUUACUGACGCUGAGGCACGAAAGCGUGGGGAGCAAACAGG